rnacentral:rRNA from 1 species
GUCUACGGCCAUACCACCCUGAAAGCGCCCGAUCUCGUCUGAUCUCAGAAGCUAAGCAGGGUCGGGCCUGGUUAGUACUUGGAUGGGAGACCGCAUGACAACAACUGGAACAGAGUGUAGCUC